UGGGGAAUAUUGCACAAUGGGCGCAAGCCUGAUGCAGCAACGCCGCGUGAACGAUGAAGGUCUUCGGAUCGUAAAGUUCUGUUGCAGGGGAAGAUAAUGACGGUACCCUGUGAGGAAGCCCCGGCUAACUACGUGCCAGCAGCCGCGGUAAUACGUAGGGGGUUAGCGUUGUCCGGAAUCACUGGGCGUAAAGGGGUCGCAGGCGGAAAUGCAAGUCAGGUGUAAAAGGCAGUAGCUUAACUACUGUAAGCAUUUGAAACUGCAUAUCUUGAGAAGAGUAGAGGUAAGUGGAAUUUUUAGUGUAGCGGUGAAAUGCGUAGAUAUUAGAAAGAAUACCGGUGGCGAAGGCGACUUACUGGGCUCAUUCUGACGCUGAGGAACGAAAGCGUGGGUAGCAAACAGG
rnacentral:rRNA from 1 species